UACGAAGGGUGCAAGCGUUGUUCGGAUUUAUUGGGCGUAAAGCGCGCGCAGGCGGAUUCUUAAGUCAGAUGUGAAAUCUCGAGGCUCAACCUCGAACGUGCGUCUGAAACUGAGUAUCUAGAAUAUCAGAGGGGGCAGAGGAAUUUCACAUGUAGGGGUAAAAUCCGUAGAGAUGUGAAGGAACACCGGAGGCGAAGGCGUCUGCCUGGAUGAUUAUUGACGCUGAGGCGCGAAAGCGUGGGGAGCAAAC
rnacentral:rRNA from 1 species